AUACGGAGGGUGCAAGCGUUGUUCGGAAUCACUGGGCGUAAAGGGUGUGUAGGCGGCCUCGUAAGUCGGAUGUGAAAGCCCUCGGCUCAACCGAGGAAGUGCAUCCGAUACUGCGGGGCUUGAGUCCCGGAGAGGGGGGUGGAAUUCCCGGUGUAGAGGUGAAAUUCGUAGAUAUCGGGAGGAACACCGGUGGCGAAGGCGACCCCCUGGACGGAGACUGACGCUGAGACACGAAAGCGUGGGGAGCAAACAGGAUUAGAAACCCUAGUAGUCC
rnacentral:rRNA from 1 species